rnacentral:rRNA from 1 species
UGGGGAAUAUUGGACAAUGGGGGGAACCCUGAUCCAGCCAUGCCGCGUGUGUGAAGAAGGCCUUAUGGUUGUAAAGCACUUUAAGCGAGGAGGAGGGUACUGGUAUUAAUACUACCAGGUACUGGACGUUACUCGCAGAAUAAGCACCGGCUAACUCUGUGCCAGCAGCCGCGGUAAUACAGAUGGUGCGAGCGUUAAUCGGAUUUACUGGGCGUAAAGCGUGCGUAGGCGGCUAAUUGAGUCGGAUGUGAAAUCCCCGAGCUUAACUUGGGAAUUGCAUUCGAUACUGGUUAGCUAGAGUGUGGGAGAGGAUGGUAGAAUUCCAGGUGUAGCGGUGAAAUGCGUAGAGAUCUGGAGGAAUACCGAUGGCGAAGGCAGCCAUCUGGCCUAACACUGACGCUGAGGUACGAAAGCAUGGGGAGCAAACAGG